ACUCGUGGACUUCCCUUUGUCAUCCUAUGCCUGAGAAUAUAUGAAGGAGGCUGGGAAGGCAAAGGGACGUUCAAUUGUCA
ensembl:miRNA MIR204 microRNA 204